rnacentral:rRNA from 1 species
CCUACGGGAGGCAGCAGUAAGGAAUAUUGGUCAAUGGACGAAAGUCUGAACCAGCCAUGCCGCGUGAAGGAUGAAGGUCCUCUGGAUUGUAAACUUCUUUUAUCUGGGACGAAAAAAGGGCUUUCUAGCUCACUUGACGGUACCAGAGGAAUAAGCACCGGCUAACUCCGUGCCAGCAGCCGCGGUAAUACGGAGGGUGCAAGCGUUAUCCGGAUUUACUGGGUUUAAAGGGAGCGUAGGUGGGCAGGUAAGUCAGUGGUGAAAUCUCUGGGCUUAACCCGGAAACUGCCAUUGAUACUAUCUGUCUUGAAUAUCCUGGAGGUAAGCGGAAUAUGUCAUGUAGCGGUGAAAUGCUUAGAUAUGACAUAGAACACCCAUUGCGAAGGCAGCUUACUACGGGAUUAUUGACACUGAGGCUCGAAAGCGUGGGGAUCAAACAGGAUUAGAUACCCUGGUAGUCCACGCCCUAAACGAUGGAUACUCGACAUCAGCGAUACACUGUUGGUGUCUGNGNGAAGANAUAGUAUCCACCNCGGAGACGACGACGAGUAGUAACGUACGAAGAAGUAGACGGCGUGAGACGAGACGACGGACGACGACGAGGGAGGAGG